GUGCUUGCCUUGGCAGGACAUAUACUAAAAUUGGAAUGAUACAAAGAAGAUUAGCAUGGCCCCUGCACAAGGAUGACAUGUAAAUUCAUGAAGCGUUCCAUAUUUUU
rnacentral:snRNA from 1 species